AACGCGAAGAACCUUACCCAGGUUUGAAAUACAGUGGACCGCGCAAGAGAUUGCGCUUCCCGCAAGGGCCGCUGUGUAGGUGCUGCAUGGCUGUCGUCAGCUCGUGCCGUGAGGUGUUGGGUUAAGUCCCGCAACGAGCGCAACCCUUAUCAUUAGUUGCCAACACGUAAGGUGGGGACUCUAGUGAGACUGCCCAGGUUAACUGGGAGGAAGGCGAGGAUGACGUCAAGUCCGCAUGGCCUUUAUGUCUGGGGCUACACACGUGCUACAAUGGUCGGUACAGAAGGCAGCAAGACCGCAAGGUGGAGCAAAUCCUAAAAAACCGAUCUCAGUUCAGAUUGUGGUCUGCAACUCGACCACAUGAAGUUGGAAUUGCUAGUAAUGGCGUGUCAGCAACAACGCCGUGAAUACGUUCCCGGGCCUUGUACACACCGGCUAC
rnacentral:rRNA from 1 species